GAUGAAGAACGUAGCGAAAUGCGAUAAGUAAUGCGAAUUGCAGAAUUUCCGUGAGUCAUCGAAUCUUUGAACGCACAUUGCGCCCACUGGUAUUCCGGGGGGCAUGCCUGUCCGAGCGUCAUUGCUGCCCUCAAGCACGGCUUGUGUGUUGGGCCCCGUCCUCCGAUCCCGGGGGACGGGCCCGAAAGGCAGCGGCGGCACCGCGUCCGGUCCUCGAGCGUAUGGGGCUUUGUCACCCGCUCUGUAGGCCCGGCCGGCGCUUGCCGAUCAACCCAAAUUUUUUAUCCAGGUUGACCUCGGAUCAGGUAGGGAUACCCGCUGAACUUAAGCAUAUCAAUAAGCGGAGGA
rnacentral:misc_RNA from 1 species